rnacentral:sRNA from 1 species
AUUAAAUUUGGUAAUUAAAUCAUUAAUUUCGUUUUUAAUUAUUAUUUUUAGGUAACUUUUCCAAAAAUUAAUGUUAUCCAAGAUUAGAACAGAAUUAAACAUGUUAUCGAGGAUCCGAACAGAGUUAAACCGGGUUAUACCCACCCAUUUGAAUUAAUUGUUGAAUUAUGGCUCAAAUCUCAAAAAUUAUCUUCAAAAAAGUGAUACAAAAUGUAUAUAUAGAUAUUUAUGA